GACAGAGGGUGCAAACGUUGUUCGGAAUUACUGGGCGUAAAGCGUGUGUAGGCGGCUACGUAAGUCGGAUGUGAAAGCCCCAGGCUCAACCUGGGAAGCUGCGCUCGAUACUGCGUAGCUUGAGUAUCGGAGAGGUUGGUGGAAUUCUCGGUGUAGAGGUGAAAUUCGUAGGUAUCGAGAAGGAACACCGGUGGCGAAGGCGGCCAACUGGACGAUACUGACGC
rnacentral:rRNA from 1 species